rnacentral:rRNA from 2 species
AUUGAACGCUGGCGGCGUGCUUAACACAUGCAAGUCGUGCGAGAACGGAACCUUCGGGUUCCUAGUAGAGCGGCGCACGGGUGAGUAACGCGUGGAUUACCUUCCCAAAAGUUCGGGAUAACGGCGGGAAACUGCCGCUAAUACCGGAUACGCUCCAAUUUCGGUUGGGGGAAAGGCGGCCUCUGCUUGCAAGCUGUCGCUUUUGGAUGGGUCCGCGUCCCAUUAGCUUGUUGGUGGGGUAACGGCCUACCAAGGCUACGAUGGGUAGCUGGUCUGAGAGGAUGAUCAGCCACACUGGAACUGAAACACGGUCCAGACUCCUACGGGAGGCAGCAGUGGGGAAUAUUGCGCAAUGGGGGAAACCCUGACGCAGCGACGCCGUGUGAGGGAAGAAGGCUUUCGGGUCGUAAACCUCUGUCAGAAAGGAAGAACCUUCCAUAUCCGAAUAGGGUAUGGGACUGACGGUACUUUCAAAGGAAGCGCCGGCUAACUCCGUG